AUUGAACGCUGGCGGCAGGCCUAACACAUGCAAGUCGAACGAGUGGGGACGGGUGAGUAACACGUGGGUAACCUCCCAUCAGAGGGGAUAACACUUGGAAACAGGUGCUAAACAGAUAUUGAUGGAUGGAUCCGCGGUGCAUUAGCUAGUUGGUGAGGUAACGGCUCACCAAGGCCACGAUGCAUAGCCGACCUGAGAGUGUGAUCGGCCACACUGGGACUGAGACACGGCCCAGACUCCUACGGGAGGCAGCAGUGGGGAAUCUUCGGCAAUGGGCGAAAGUCUGACCGAGCAACGCCGCGUGGAUGAAGAAGUUUUUCGGAUCGUAAAGCUCUGUUGUUAGAGAAGCGGUAUCUAACCAGAAAGCCACGGCUAACUACGUGCCAGCAGCCGCGGUAAUUC
rnacentral:rRNA from 1 species